rnacentral:rRNA from 1 species
AUUGAACGCUGGCGGCAUGCCUUACACAUGCAAGUCGAACGGUAACGCGGGGCAACCUGGCGACGAGUGGCGAACGGGUGAGUAAUGUAUCGGAACGUGCCCAAUAGUGGGGGAUAGCCCGGCGAAAGCCGGAUUAAUACCGCAUGAGACCUGAGGGUGAAAGCGGGGGAUCGCAAGACCUCGCGCUGUUGGAGCGGCCGAUAUCAGAUUAGGUAGUUGGUGGGGUAAAGGCCUACCAAGCCUGCGAUCUGUAGCUGGUCUGAGAGGAUGACCAGCCACACUGGGACUGAGACACGGUCCAGACUCCUACGGGAGGCAGCAGUGGGGAAUUUUGGACAAUGGGCGCAAGCCUGAUCCAGCCAUGCCGCGUGCGGGAAGAAGGCCUUCGGGUUGUAAACCGCUUUUGUCAGGGAAGGAAUCUUCUGGGUUAAUACCUCGGGAGGAUGACGGUACCUGAAAAAUAAGCACCGGCUAACUACGUGCCAGCAGCCGCCGUAA